rnacentral:rRNA from 1 species
GAUGAACGCUGGCGGCGUGCCUAAUACAUGCAAGUCGAGCGAACGGACGAGAAGCUUGCUUCUCUGCUGUUAGCGGGGGACGGGUGAGUAACACGUGGAUAACCUACUUAUAAGUCUGGGAGAACUACGGGAAACAGGAUCUAAUACCGGAUAAUAUUUUGUACCGCAUGGUUCAAAAGUGAUAGACGGUUUUCCUGUCUCUUAGAGAUGGAUCCGCGUUGCAUUAGCUAGUUGGUAAGGUAACGGCUUACCAAGGCGACGAUGCAUAGCUGACCUGAGAGGGUGAUCGGCCACACUGGAACUGAGACACGGUCCAGACUCCUACGGGAGGGAGCAGUGGGGAAUCUUCCGCAAUGGGCGCAAGCCUGACGGAGCAACGCCGCGUGAGUGAUGAAGGUCUUCGGGUCGUAAAACUCUUUUAUUGGGGAAGAACAUAUGCGGAUGAAACUGCGCACAUCUUGACGGUACCUAAUCAGAAAGCCCCGGCUAACUACGUG